rnacentral:rRNA from 1 species
CCCUCCCUACGGGACGCAGCAGUGGGGAAUAUUGCACAAUGGGGGAAACCCUGAUGCAGCGACGCCGCGUGAAGGAAGAAGUAUUUCGGUAUGUAAACUUCUAUCGGCAGGGAAGAAAAUGACGGUACCUGACUAAGAAGCCCCGGCUAACUACGUGCCAGCAGCCGCGGUAAUACGUAGGGGGCAAGCGUUAUCCGGAUUUACUGGGUGUAAAGGGAGCGUAGGCGGUGA